GACGAACGCUGGCGGCGUGCUUAACACAUGCAAGUCGAACGGAAAGGCCCUGCUUUUGUGGGGUGCUCGAGUGGCGAACGGGUGAGUAACACGUGAGUAACCUGCCCUUGACUUUGGGAUAACUUCAGGAAACUGGGGCUAAUACCGGAUAGGAGCUCCUGCUGCAUGGUGGGGGUUGGAAAGUUUCGGCGGUUGGGGAUGGACUCGCGGCUUAUCAGCUUGUUGGUGGGGUAGUGGCUUACCAAGGCUUUGACGGGUAGCCGGCCUGAGAGGGUGAACGGCGACAUGGGGACUGCGAGACGGACCAGACGGCUACGUGAGGCAGCAGUGGGGAAUAUUGCACAAUGGGCGGAAGCCUGAUGCAGCAACGUCGCGUGCGGGAUGACGGCCUUUGGGGUGUAAACCGCUUUCGCCUGAGACGAAGCGUUAGUGACGGUAAUGGGUAAAGAAGCACCGGCUAACUACGUG
rnacentral:rRNA from 1 species